CAGGUAACAGCAGUGAAGCGCCACCUCCGCUGCCCCCCAAGUCCCCCAGCUUCCACGCGCCGCCGCAGAAGCCCAGCGUGCAGGCCUUGCCCGCGCCGCCGCCCGCCCUUCCGGGGUCGCCGACGUUCCUGCAGAAGAAGAGGCACGGCCGAGGCCCAGGGACCGGUGGGGGAAAGCUAAAUCCACCCCCGGCACCCCCCGCAAGAUCACCCACCACAGAGCUUUCAAGCAAGAGCCAGCAGGCCCCAGCCUGGACCCCAACCCAGCAAGCUGGAGGCCAGCUGCGAAACGGAAGCCUGCACAUCAUCGAUGAUUUUGAGUCUAAAUUCACGUUCCAUUCUGUGGAAGAUUUUCCGCCUCCGGAUGAAUAUAAGCCAUGCCAGAAGAUUUACCCCAGCAAGAUCCCCAGAAGCCGUACACCUGGUCCCUGGCUCCAGGCCGAGGUCGCCGGGCAGAGCCCUGAUGACAUCAAAGGCAGAAAUUCUCAGUUAUCUCUAAAGACACUCCGGUGAGAAGACGAUGAAGCUGGGGUCCUUGGGUUCCACAUUUCAGGACGGGCACUUCCAGGAGAACGUGUCAGACCCCACCAUACUCAACUGUAACUCAACAUACAGGCUCUGAAUAGUGCAUCUAUUUAUUGUAAAUACAUGGUUUGCACGGGCUUUAAAGCAGUAUUUUAGUUGACUUUUA